CUCUGGUCCAGAGGUCCACAAUUUUUAGGUAUUUCAGGAUCUCCGUUCUCCUAUCCUGUCUCAAUCCCACAGUGAGACAGCUGCACUAUUUUUGGUAAAUCCCUCAUGCACUGGUGCCUGGAAGUUGCCUCCAUGAAGUAAGCUGGGCAAUGUUAGUGCUCAUCUCAUCUGUUUUCCUUAUCUCUGUGCUACCUGAUGUUCAAGGUCCAAAAAUAGUUUUCAAAUUGGAGAUCAACUCUACCGUUAUCAGUGAAAAAGAAGUCACAUAUUUUGCUUUUAUUGUGUUUUACAAAUAUGUCAUUCCAAGAUAAAUCAGGAUAAUAACCUUAUAAUUUAACUACAAAUUAUUUGACACCUGCCUUACAAAAAAUUUUCUCCAUGGCAUGUUGACAGAGUCAACAUGAAUAUAACUACUUCAGAGUAGUGACUUGAGGAGAGGAGGAAACACUUUCCAUACAGAGGGGUCCUUCUCUGUCCCAUGGGAAUCUUGGAGGCAUAUGCAAGGAAGAAACCUCUGACUAUUCCAUCUAGAAAUUGUAACUGGUGUUUCUUGCGAAGUUAGAGAUACCUGUACCAUGCAAAAAAUUAUGGAAGGAAUAAUAUAAUAUUUCCCUAAGCACGCUUAUGUUUAGGACUCUCUUCUUAGGGUCCUGUCCCAGUCUCCUGUAGGUACCCCCCAAGCUAUUAUCAGGAGGAAUAGGUCAGAUCGCACUGUGGUGCAAUUUUCACGAUCACCACCAGAGGGCGGGGCUUCCUUCAGAUGCGGUUCCUCAUUGUACUCAGGAGCUGGUUUCGCUUGCCUGCUUUGUAGCCACAAGACAGAAUAUUGCUGCAGUACAGAAAGGGGCUCUCAGUUUCUGAGUGAGGAGCUUCUCUAACAUCCAGAUGGAGACUAGAGCGAAGAGCUUCUGUAACAUCUAGAUGGAGACUAGAUUUGUUUGACUGGUGUAUUCCAGGGAACAAGGAUCGUUUUCUUUUGAGAACAUGCAUUCUGCCACUCACUCAGUUCUUCUGAUCAUCUUAAUAUUCAGAGGGACCAAUGGUGACUCAGUGAACCAGACAGAAGGCCCAGUGACUGUCUCAGAGGGGGCUCCCAUGACCCUGAACUGCACUUACCAGAUCACGUAUUCAGAUCCCUAUCUUUUCUGGUACGUCCAGCAUCUCAACAAAGCUCCUCAACUCCUCCUGAAGGGCUGGAUGACAGAUCAGAAGCCAAAGAGUGAAGGUUUUCAGGCCACUCUUGUUAGGACUAACAGCUCCUUCCACCUGCAGAAACGGGCAGUGCAAGCAUCAGACUCGGCUGUGUACUACUGUGCUCUGAAUGACACAGUGACACAGGGCUGUGGGGGAGCUGAGCACAAACCUAGAAUGCAGAUGGGGCUCUGGCUGUGGGCAGCCCUGCAAGGGGUGUUGUUUCUCUCUCCAUUGGGCUAUGCUAGAGGUAUUGUCAAAGCACUUCCAGGUCUGUUCCUCAGAGCCAAGGACCAAGGAAUUCUUGGGUUGCCCUACAGAGAAGAAUCUGGAGCAGGACAGUGCAAAAAGGAACCUAAGAGCUUUUCUCCAGAAAUGCCUGUUUUCAGCCCAUCAACAUCCCCCCAGAUAGAAUCCCUUAAAGUGACAUUAACUCUUCAAUGACAAUUCAGAUUAUAUAUGCUGAAAUAUUUCACAAUGUGUUAAUGAAAAUUCCAGGGCACAUUGUUGAUGGAUGACUGUGUGACCUAGAAGCUAGUCUCUGGUUUUUAAAAUUCAGGCCAAGAUUGUGUAUCCUUCUGAGUUUCACCUGCAGACACUCCAUCUUCAGGGACUGGAGCUUUAUUCUCUCUUUCCUUGACUUUUCCAUCCAUUCUGGUUGCUCCAGAAAUGCUGCUGCUUAAGUAAGUUCCAGGAGGAGACCUUCUGAGAAGAUAUUCCUCUGUCAAGGGCCCUGUGGAUCAGAGCAGCCCACUCUGUAAAUAUCGCAGGUGUUGUGUGGAUUGUUUGUAUUCAAACUGGGUACAGGAUAUUUUCUUUGCUAGUAACCUCAUCUCAGAGAAAUGAAUGCCAAAGAAUGUUCAAAUUACCAUACAAUUGCACUCAUUUCACAUGCUAGCAAGAUUAUGCU